rnacentral:rRNA from 1 species
GUGGGGAAUAUUGCACAAUGGGCGCAAGCCUGAUGCAGCAACGCCACGUGAGGGAUGACGGCCUUCGGGUUGUAAACCUCUUUUAGUAGGGAAGAAGCGAAAGUGACGGUACCUGCAGAAAAAGCACCGGCUAACUACGUGCCAGCAGCCGCGGUAAUACGUAGGGUGCAAGCGUUGUCCGGAAUUAUUGGGCGUAAAGAGCUCGUAGGCGGCUUGUCGCGUCUGCUGUGAAAACCCGAGGCUCAACCUCGGGCCUGCAGUGGGUACGGGCAGGCUAGAGUGCGGUAGGGGAGAUUGGAAUUCCUGGUGUAGCGGUGGAAUGCGCAGAUAUCAGGAGGAACACCGAUGGCGAAGGCAGAUCUCUGGGCCGUAACUGACGCUGAGGAGCGAAAGCAUGGGGAGCGAACAGGAUUAGAAACCCUUGUAGUCC